GACGAACGCUGGCGGCGUGCUUAACACAUGCAAGUCGAGCGGAAAGGCCACUUCGGUGGUACUCGAGCGGCGAACGGGUGAGUAACACGUGAGUAAUCUGCCCUUGGCUUUGGGAUAGCCACCGGAAACGGUGAUUAAUACCGGAUACGACCACUUCUCGCAUGGGAUGGUGGUGGAAAGUUUUUUCGGCCAGGGAUGUGCUCGCGGCCUAUCAGCUUGAUGGUGAGGUAACGGCUCACCAUGGCUUCGACGGGUAGCCGGCCUGAGAGGGUGACCGGUCACACUGGGACUGAGACACUGCCCAGACUCCUACGGGAGGCAGCAGUGGGGAAUAUUGGACAAUGGGCGGAAGCCUGAUCCAGCAACGCCGCGUGAGGGAUGACGGCCUUCGGGUUGUAAACCUCUUUCAGCAGGGACGAAGCGCAAGUGACGGUACCUGCAGAAGAAGCACCGGCCAACUACGUGCCAGCCGCCGCCGUAACAC
rnacentral:rRNA from 1 species